GUUGGGUAGGGGAGCGUUCUGUAAGCCUGUGAAGGUGUGUCGUGAGGCAUGCUGGAGGUAUCAGAAGUGCGAAUGCUGACAUAAGUAACGAUAAAGCGGGUGAAAAGCCCGCUCGCCGGAAGACCAAGGGUUCCUGUCCAACGUUAAUCGGGGCAGGGUGAGUCGACCCCUAAGGCGAGGCCGAAAGGCGUAGUCGAUGGGAAACGGGUUAAUAUUCCCGUACUUGGUGUUACUGCGAAGGGGGGACGGAGAAGGCUAUGUUGGCCGGGCGACGGUUGUCCCGGUUUAAGCGUGUAGGUGUGUGUUCCAGGUAAAUCCGGUUCACUUUAACACUGAGGCGUGACGACGAGGCACUACGGUGCUGAAGCAACAAAUGCCCUGCUUCCAGGAAAAGCCUCUAAGCAUCAGGUAACAUCAAAUCGUACCCCAAACCGACACAGGUGGUCAGGUAGAGAAUACCAAGGCGCUUGAGAGAACUCGGGUGAAGGAACUAGGCAAAAUGGUGCCGUAACUUCGGGAGAAGGCACGCUGACACGUAGGUGAAGUGAUUUACUCACGGAGCUGAAGUCAGUCGAAGAUACCAGCUGGCUGCAACUGUUUAUUAAAAACACAGCACUGUGCAAACACGAAAGUGGACGUAUACGGUGUGACGCCUGCCCGGUGCCGGAAGGUUAAUUGAUGGGGUCAGCGCAAGCGAAGCUCCUGAUCGAAGCCCCGGUAAACGGCGGCCGUAACUAUAACGGUCCUAAGGUAGCGAAAUUCCUUGUCGGGUAAGUUCCGACCUGCACGAAUGGCGUAAUGAUGGCCAGGCUGUCUCCACCCGAGACUCAGUGAAAUUGAACUCGCUGUGAAGAUGCAGUGUACCCGCGGCAAGACGGAAAGACCCCGUGAACCUUUACUAUAGCUUGACACUGAACAUUGAGCCUUGAUGUGUAGGAUAGGUGGGAGGCUUUGAAGUGUGGACGCCAGUCUGCAUGGAGCCGACCUUGAAAUACCACCCUUUAAUGUUUGAUGUUCUAACGUGGACCCGUAAUCCGGGUUGCGGACAGUGUCUGGUGGGUAGUUUGACUGGGGCGGUCUCCUCCUAAAGAGUAACGGAGGAGCACGAAGGUUGGCUAAUCCUGGUCGGACAUCAGGAGGUUAGUGCAAUGGCAUAAGCCAGCUUGACUGCGAGCGUGACGGCGCGAGCAGGUGCGAAAGCAGGUCAUAGUGAUCCGGUGGUUCUGAAUGGAAGGGCCAUCGCUCAACGGAUAAAAGGUACUCCGGGGAUAACAGGCUGAUACCGCCCAAGAGUUCAUAUCGACGGCGGUGUUUGGCACCUCGAUGUCGGCUCAUCACAUCCUGGGGCUGAAGUAGGUCCCAAGGGUAUGGCUGUUCGCCAUUUAAAGUGGUACGCGAGCUGGGUUUAGAACGUCGUGAGACAGUUCGGUCCCUAUCUGCCGUGGGCGCUGGAGAACUGAGGGGGGCUGCUCCUAGUACGAGAGGACCGGAGUGGACGCAUCACUGGUGUUCGGGUUGUCAUGCCAAUGGCACUGCCCGGUAGCUAAAUGCGGAAGAGAUAAGUGCUGAAAGCAUCUAAGCACGAAACUUGCCCCGAGAUGAGUUCUCCCUGAGACUUAGAGUCUCCUGAAGGAACGUUGAAGACGACGACGUUGAUAGGCCGGGUGUGUAAGCGCAGCGAUGCGUUGAGCUAACCGGUACUAAUGAACCGUGAGGCUUAACCUUACAACGCCGAAG
rnacentral:rRNA from 1 species